AUCUAUUUUAAAUCUCCUCUCUCUCUCUCUCUCUCUCUCUCUCUCUCUCUCUCUCUCUCUCUGAAAUAGGGUUGCAAACAAACUAAGCCGCUCAUUUCGGCUCCUGAGCAGUUCGGUCACAGACUCAAUUGAGCUCUUUUAUUUGGCUCGUCACUCUCUGUAGGGACCCAACGACAGCACAGGCGCAAUGCAGCUCCACAAUCCACUCUCUGUGACUGCAUACACGGCCCACAGGUAAGAUCAUCAAUUUUGAAGAUCUGCUCUCUGGAUUUUGUGUACGCAGCCAGCAAGUAAGAUCGACGCCGAUCGGACUGAGUCUGAGAGAGCCGAGAGAGGGAGAUUGACGCUGCAUUGAGAGUGAGCCGAGACGAGAGGGAGAGUCGAAGACUGAGGGAGACUAAGAGUGAGAGGGAGGGGACGGCGUGCGGCGACACUACUAAUGGAGAGUCGAGAUCGUGAGAACCGAGAGAGUGAGAGUGAGAGUGAGAGUGAGAGUGAGGGGGACGGCGUGCGGCUGCGGCGACGACGACCUGCGGGCUGGGCUGCAUGGGGUGCGGCGUGCGGGCGGCGUGCAGUGCUGGGAGCCUGGGCAGAGAGCAGUGGGCGUGUGGCCGUGACCGUGUGGCGUGGGUAAGAUAGACGGCAAGAGAUUAGGGUUUGGUUAAAUGGGUAUACAUAGGUAAAUAAACAGGUCACCCAGGUGACCCGAACCCAGGUGACCCAUUUAUAAAGGGGCGAAUCAUGGCUUGACCUGUUCAUAAACGGCUUGAAUUUCAAAGACCCAAAUUUGUCUUAAUGGGUCAUGACCUGUUUUGUGAGGACUAUAAAAAUGGCAGGCUGGGUAUAGCUCCAAAGAAGGAGAAAAUUAUAUGGGGAAAGUAGCCCCAAUAUAAUGUGUUUAAUGUGUU